GAAGAUUCUUCAAGUUCAAGGUGAAGGGUACUUUUAUAAUAACAUCUUCAGCUUUGUCGGCUGAGAUUUGUGAUUUGUAUCCCGAGCGGCGUGAACAGUAACCAGCCCUAUCUCCAUGGAUGGAGAAGACAAGAAACCAAGUCUGGAAUCACCAUUGAUUUCUCAAGAAGCUGUGUUUCACUCCAGGAAUGGAGCAAAAAGAGAGGAGAUCUUGGGUGAAGUGAAGAAACAGUUGAAAAUAGCAGGGCCUUUGAUGUUAGUCAAUGUUCUACUAUAUAGCUUACAGGUGAUUUCAGUAAUGUUUGUGGGUCAUCUGGGAGAGCUAGCUCUCUCUGGCGCUUCCAUGGCCACUUCCUUUGCUUCAGUCACUGGCUUCAGCUUGAUGUACUGGCAUGCUCCUUGUUCAUGGAAUCUUGACAAACACAUAUUAUAGCAGAGAGGAGGAAUUCUAAGGUUUCUCUUCUUCUUUGAAGACUUGAAUCCGUAGCAAUCAGGCUAAGGUUUGGUGAAGGAGAGAAGCUAUCAAUACAAAAGGAUUGUUGUGAGGAAAUAAAGUAUGAAGUAGGUGGGACUGUCUCUGUUGCCUUUUCCUUUCAAUGCUUGAACCUAAGUAUAUAGAGAAAGAGAAACAAAAGAAGGCAGAGUUGUUAUGGUCUAAGAAGAUCAUGUAGAAUCAAAGUUGUGAUCAAUGAGCUCAACAACUUAGUUGUUAUUUGAGAAGAAUAACAAGGAACCUUCACCCUUGAAGCAGAAGAUCAAGGAUUUCUAGAGUACAUCAGUGGUUGCCACAAGUAACAAAAGUAUAAGUUCUCAACUUUCUUUUAUUCCAUCAUUUAUAAGGGAAAAUUAUGAUUUUUGGCGUGUGAAAAUGAAAACA